CGCGUUUAGAGGAUCAGUGGCGGCGGCACCCGCGGCCCCGCGCGGCGCGGACGGCGGGCAGCACCGUGCCUGGGCCCCCUCCUGCUCCGAACAGCCCAAGGAGCAGAAAAGAGUGACAAGGCCGUGAAAGGAGGCGCCUGGGGCGUAGCCGGCUCUAGGAGGUUACCCCAUGCGGAGUACACACCCUGCUACACCCAUCCCGGAGGAGGGAGGAAAUAGCCAGCCCGGAGCACCCCUGGACUCUGCCGGUCCCAGAGGCCACGCAAACUCCGCCCAGACUCGGAGACAGGCCCUGGCACCAGGCUCUGGAGACCCCACUUCCUGACUCCAGCGGUGCGAAGAUGAUACAAUACUUUCUGGUGCUGACAUUCAGCUGUCUCCCAAACAGCUCUCAAUCUGGGGCAUGACUUUGAAGGGAAGGUUGCUAAGCCUCCUAAAUCCCGAUACACACCAAUGCCGUUUCCCCACUCAUCUGGAAACCUGGUGGGUCCUGCCCAAACGCCUGUAUGUCAAUUCCACCUCCUGCUUGGCGACCCACCAUGCCCACAUUUUCCACUCAAGCCUUUCAGAUCUGCUUUGGGCACCUGAAGACAGAGAGAAUCAUCUUUCAAGAGUCAGAAACUUUGCACGUGCCAUUCCC
rnacentral:lncRNA from 10 species